GCCAACAUGGUAUAGUGGUUUGGGUGUUGGACUAUGAUUCUGGAGACCAGGGUUCGAUUCCCUGCUUGACC